AUAAAUUUUACAAAAAGAAGAAAAGAUGGAAAAUAGUAGGUUUGCCAAAAAUUUAUGCCUAUAUAACUGUUAUUGAAAUACUUCUUUUCUAAGCAUGUGCCCCACUUUAUAGCCAUUCUGUGUACUCAGAGCAGUCUCUUCUUUCUAGUUUCUAGCACCAGUAUGAUGAAAUUUCUUGUGUCUCACUGCUUUCUUCAGCCCUGUGUGCUGGUCCCUUUAUCUUUCUGUUAUUUUUUUUCACAUCUUGUAGGCUGACAACUAAGGAACAAUAUUACUCUUCAAGGCGCUUCAGUAGCUUACUUAUGCAACCACCAAAAGGCCCGUUGAUGUACAAAUGUGUACUUCAAGUUGGAAGAUGAAUAGCCAUUGAGGAAGUGCAAAUAUUGCUUAAAUUGGAACCUUUAGAGUCCCAGUUCUUUACCUUUUAGUGGCUUUAUGUGAUGUGUUUCUGCUUGUCAUUUUAUAAAACACACCAAGAGCCUUAUACGUCAUAUUUUUGCUAUCAAUACUUAAAAGCCAUUAUUCUGUAUUGAAACUAUCACAGGCAUAUUCUUUAGUUUGUGAUCAGCUCAUUUCAUUAAUUACAUCCCUGUAUGGUGUCCUGAAAUGCUGUUUAAUCUCUAAGAAUUUCAGGUGGGUUUGCCCAGCAAGCAUAUUUUCAGUUUAUAUAAUAGAUAGGGAAUUUGCCCUUAACAUUAUGAAAGUUAUUCUCAAUAUUUAAUCGAAAAUAUUUUUAGAAGGGAUGGUUUGCAGGUUGGCCUUGUGCUAGGCAGAAAUAGAAGAAAGGAAACCUUUCUAUAUGCUUUCUAGGUUUUUCUAUGUCACCUAUUAAUUUUCAGACAGAAGAAAACAUUUCUAUUUUAUAUAUAACAUCUUCAUCUACUUAGACACCAUAUUUUAAUUGAAAAAUCCAGGACUAAUUUUGGAUAAUUUCUUUAUCUAAAACAAUAACUAGUAUGAUCAUAAAUAAAUCACUACACUUUUCAUCCAUAAAAUAAGAGGGAUCAUUUUUAAAGUCUAUCUAGCUUCACCAUUCUAGGACUUGCAUCCAUUCACUUAUAUAACUGCUGUGAAAUAUACAAUUAUGGCAACAAACUCGUGUGAGUCUAAAUAAUUGAUUUUCCUGACAGAACAACUGUGCUGUACUUCCAAUGGGCACUCUGGCUACAGAAUCAGAAUAAGUAGGAUAGCUACUAAUGCUAAUGGAAGUGGUCCCAAAAGGUCUUCUAUCAUGAAAUAAAGAAAGUUGAUCAAACAUACAAAAACUCUAAAACCAGCUGUUUAACCUUCAAUGAUUGGAUUGUUUCAUUCUUCGUAUAAUAUAUAUAUAUAUAUAUAAUAUGAAGUCAUUAGUAUAUUUAUACUUUAUAAUCAUGACAGUAAGCUUAAGUGGCAUGACUCAUGCCAACAGUUCCACUAGGUAAAAAAUGUUAUUACCGUCAUGUUUAAAAUAAGGGAACAGAAAUAAAGCCUAAGCAUCUUUUUCAAGGUGAUCAAUAUUCAAUAGAAUUAUUGAAAUUUGAACUCAACAAUCAGGCUGGAUCUAAAAAUCAUGCAUGAAAUAGAUGUCUUUUACAGUAUAGUUGUGACCAUCCAUUCUCUUCCCUGCCUAUCUAUACUUAAAGCAAAAUUUUAUUUACUCAGUCUGUUGGCAGAGUGUGACUUUAUGCUUCUGACAGAUUUGUCAGCAUAGCCUUAGUACUGGUCAACCAUUUUAGCUGAAUGGCUGAAAAUUCUCUCACAUGAUCCUGAAACAUAUACCUUGCUACAUCUAUGAACCAUGGGAUAAAAAUAAAUAAAAAUGUGAUAUUGGCUGUAGAGGAUAAAAAGUAAAAAUGUAUGGAGUUUGAAUUUUAGAAGUCACGCAUCUCUAUAAAGAUUUUUUUUCUAAUUUGAGGAGAUGAAACACUCACAUUUACUCACCCCAGAUAAGGAACCCACAACAGACCAAAAUACAAAUUGUAAACCCCUAGAGGCUUAAAAUGGCCAGGCCCCACCCACUGACACUAACUGCAGAACCCAACCCUUUGAGAUAUAUGAAUGGCCAGUCUCCACUCCCUAGACUACUUUUCUGUCUGUAAAGGCCAUUUUCAGUCCCUCAGGUUGAAAAAGAGGUCAAGAUUCACUCUACAGGGGAAAAACACCCAAGAUAAAGCCACAGAAAACCUACCCAUCUGUAAAUUUAGAUGAUGUCACAAAAUCUCACCUAUCCCUGAGGUCAAAAUCCCAACAAUCCCCGAGUUUGCCUCAAGAUCAGACCACAGAAUCCUACCAAUCCCAGGACAUCUUGGAAAGGUCUGCAGCACUCGCAUCCCAUAUCCCAAGAAACACUUUAUAAAGCCUGCCUCCUGGUCAGUUGUUCGCUGCAUCUCUACCAAGAAGAGACAGUCUUCUUCUUGUCUUUCCCAAUAAAUCUCUCGUGUGAUGUUUAUUGUAUGGUGUGAUUUUAUGGUAUUCCUUGCUUCCUCCCACCUGCCAGGGUGUGUUUCCCUUUAGAACUAUAACACAUACACAGGUUGGGGAUUUAGCUCAGUGGUAGAGCAUUUGCCUAGCAAGCACAAGGCCCUGGGUUCAGUCCUCAGCUCAAAAAAAAAAAAAAAAGUAACACAUACAUAGAUACCAUCAAGGUCUAAUUUGGGGAACCAGUGAGUUUUUUUGAGGUUACUUACAGAAAUACAGGUGACAGGUUACUUAAAGAAGCAGAUAUGUCUCAUAUUAUAGCUGUAUCAUCAAAGCCCACACAACAUAGAUGAAAGCUCAUAAAAGAUAAAAAUUGGAGCACACUCAGGUUGGAGAGUGCUCUUUCGAAAUAACUCAGUUGGUCUAAACAACUUCUCCCAGGCCUUCAGUAUAUCUCUAGCUGGUGUUGCUACCUACUUCUUUGCUGCUGGGCUUGUCUGGGGCAGGGGAUGGGGUUCGUUUGGUUUGGGGCUUUUUUGUUGUUGAUUUUUUGCAACUUAGUGCCUAUGAGGGUGAAACUCUGCAGUCUUAGUUGUUUACUCUUGAGAUAUAGUUGCCUAUUGAAUAUGAUCAGUUUCAGGAAUUUCCUGAAGCAAUUUUGAGUUGUUUACUUUCUGUUUUAACCUGUUGGGUGAUUCCCAGCAGGAGCAAUGUUUCAAUCUUAAGGAAACUAUCACACAAAAUGAGAUUAGACAGAAACUGAUCAUAGGGAGUAGUAAAAUAAUGAGUCAAUCUAUCAAUUCAGUUCAAUGAAUUUCAUUAAAACAGUGCACAUGUUUCCUACCAGCAACUUAUAAUACAGGAAAUAAUUUUACAUGUUGUGAAAAUACAACACUUUAUAAGAAUUAAUUUCUAAAAUUUCAUGCUUUGUAUAAAUGUAUAAAUUUUUUAUUCCAGGAUUUUAUACAUCCCAAACAAAUCGUCAAAUAGUACUUAAAGACUGUUUCAGUGAGCUGAAAAGCUAGAAACAAAAUUAAAGAUAAAAAAACUUAAAUUCACUCAAGGGCAAACUAGUCAACAAUUUUUAAAUGGAAUAACCUAAACUGUGAUUCACAUGGUGCUCUAUUGUCCAAUGUCAUCUAGCACAGGAAGAUUUUAUAUAUACAUGAAAUAGGCAGAGAAAGGGGAUUUUUUAAAUUUAUAACUGACUAAUUUUUCCUUCCACAUUUUUUACCACAGAUGUAAACACUUCACAGAAUCUUCCAAAGAGAGUGGCAGGCUCUGUACUUCUUAGUUUGCCACCUUUCAAAUGUGAGAUUAAUGAAUUUGCAUUAGCAAUAAAAAUUGAAUAUUGUAUAUUUUACCAUUAGCUAUCUUAAGUAGUCUAAUGUGUUGCAAUAAACUACUUUUAAAAAGGGGAAGUAUAUGUUUUGAAUUUGAACAUUUCACAUGUAAUGAAAUAUAGUUUUUUCAUGUUUGUCAACUCACAAAUGAUUUUUAAAGAAAGUGAUGGGAGGGUCUCAAAUUGUCUAAGAAAAGUAAAAUUAUAGACUCAAAUGUUUGGUGUGGUCUUAUAAAUAUCUGUUUGAAAUCAAAGGGCCAUUUGAAAUUAAUUUAACUAUAAAAUAUUUUUCCUAUCAGUAUAUGGAGUAUAUGUAAAUAGAAGCUAAUCAGAAAACAAAACUAAAAAAAAAAAAAGAAAAAGAAAAGAAAUCCAAUCAUGAUGUCCGUUAUUCUUUAAUGUUGUGCUUUUAGAAAUGGAACAUAGGACCUUGAAUAUGCCAGCUCUGAACCAGCUGGGGUUCCAUGUAUUAGUGCGAUCAUAAAGUUUAGGUUUAAAAACUAAGGAAAAAGUAUUUCUGUAUUUUUGUUUACAAGUGUUUUAACAGAGAUAUGUUAAUCAGAGCACAUAUAACUGUAACCUUGAAUUUAUUAUUUAAAUUACAUUUCUAUAAUCACUAACUAUGUGAUUUUUAUGAAGAGGAAAGUAGUAAUGGCAGUUAUGACUAUUAUGGUAAUAUUAGAAUAUAAAGUUAAAAUAUUUUUUACACAGUAUUUUACCAAAUAGUUUUUAUUAUAGUCAUUUUAUAUAUUGAGAAAUUGAGUCUUAUAAAACACUAAUCACAUAGUUUAGGUCAUACUACUAUAAAUUUAGUGAAACUUUUUACCCUCUAAUUAUUUAUUCUUAGCUCAUUUGUUUGGUGUCAGCAUUUUCCCAUAUAAUUUAAAAAAUGUCCAAACACUAGAAACCUUUUGUUGUUUAUGUAUAUGGUAGAGAAUUGUUGAAAACCUUUGCAAGAUGUUUUCUGUAGGCAUAAUGUUUUUGUACACAGUGUAAAGUUUACCCUUAGGUUAUUCAUAUGCUGGUUUCUCUAUCCUUGUAUCUUGUUUCAAUCCAGACAGGGCAUUAUAAUGCUUAUAUCAAGAAUCUCCUGUCUCAAGUUUGUAUAAACAGUUCUUAUUAUUUAUUCUCUGCCUUGGCAAUAAAUAGUGACGUCCAACAGGUGGAUAGAAUAGGAAUUCAAGUGCAAAUCCAGAAUCCGACUAUAGAUAUUCCUAUGAAUUGUACAAUUUAUAGUGCAUUUGUCAUCAUGUAUUUUACCUUCACUUGUGUACUUUUUUAUCAGUAGCCUGAAAUGCUUAAAAUAUUCUGUAUGAAUAGCAUUAGGAGAUCUAUAACUUAGAUUAGUUCAACUUAUAGAGAAAAGUCCUGGCAUCAGAUGAGCAGGUAACAGAAGCCUAGACACUCUAGAGUUAUUUCUCUAACUGAACUUAUAUUUUAUUUCCCUGGUGCUUACUUGGGUAUAUUGUGGGCUCACAUUGUUAUCAGGAAAAACAUGAAGGAACUACAUUCUGACUUUAAUACAGAAAUUAUAAUAAAAUGGAAUUAUUUCCAAUUAACAUGGCUAUCUAUAUCUAUAUCUAUAUAUAUAUGAUUAUUUCAAAGAUUCACAGCAUGUGUUUUCCUCUGUUGGCAAUGACAUUAAGUUCACAAGAAAGGGCCAGAAAGGUGUUUGGCAUAUUUGCCUACUCAAUAGCCUUAAUAAUAUUUUUAAUUAUCAAUUGAGUAAGUUAUACUGACUUGUGAUGGCCUAUUAUCAUGAUGAAAAUAUUAAUUUCAAAAUUUAUGUUUUAUUUCCAACCAAUGAAUGCAAUUUAUAAUUAGAAUAACACAUACCAGGGAGCAAUAACUGAAUUGUCUGUGAAUUUUCGUCAUAUGAUUCACCACACCUUUUAAGCAUACAAUUACCUGUCGAUACCUCACACAAUCUGUCAUGCAGAAUGACAGAUGAGAAUUAGCCUCAAGUAUUAUCCCAAGUAGUAUUAUAUACUUAGAUAUUAAUAGUGCUAGUAGAAGAAUUGAAACGUAAUUAAUGAAAGGCAAAAUGUAUUAACUUUAUAACUUAAAAUACAAAAUGGCAACCAACAGAUUAGGAAAAGAUCUUUACCAAUUCUACCUCCAAUACUAGAAUAAUAACCAAUAUAAACAAAGAACUCAAGAAGUUAGACUUCAGAGAACCAAAUAACCCUAUUAAAAGUUUCUGCCAGAGCAUGCCAAAUACAGAAGCCAUUGCUAGCAGCAAACCAUUGAACUGAGAACAGGGUCCCUGUUGGAGGAAUUAGAGAAAGGAUUGAAGGAGCUGAAGGGGUUUACAACUCCAUAAGAACAACAAUAUCAACCAGUCAGAACUCCCAGGUACUAUACUGCCAUCCAAAAAGUACAUGUGGACAGAUCCAUGGCUCUAGCUGCAUAUGUAGCAGAAGAUGGUAAAUACCCAAUAAAAAUAAAAUACAUUUUAUAGUAAAUCACAGAUUCUUCAUUCUAUUCAUUAGCAGACUGAUCAUUGAAGAUCAUGUGACAUUACAAUUAAAUUGUAAAAGCUGAAAUAUGUCUAACUUAAAAUUUAUCCUAAAAUUCAAAGCUUUAUUUUUUUGUUGCAUUUGGUUUUACUACAUCGGCUAGAGAAUGUACCAGAGUCCUUUAUAGAAAUUCACACGCAGAACUCCCCUAAAAAUGAAGAAGCAAUGUCUCUAAUCUUGUGCUUUCAUUCGUUUGAUUGCCACUUCAGCUUGAAUGGAAGGAUGAUAAUUAGUGGGUGUGAAAUAACCAGUACCGCUCAAGCAAUUGGCUUUACUGAGAAAGAAAGUUUCUAAAGAAGCACAGUAAACUCCAAAAAAAAAAAAAAACCAAUUUAAGCUUAUUCACCUCCAUGCCAUAGUUUUAUAGGAAACAUAUGUAUUGAAAAGUGAACAAGAGGCUAGAUAAUAUUUCUCAGGGUUCAAACAAGAAUAUAAUCUACAACACUUUAUUGCAUAUAUUUUUUCAAAACAAUAUAUUACAGUAUAUAGUCUACAUGAGGCAUUCAGUUUUGAGAUUUUUUCCUUCUCAAUAGAAUUAAUAUUUUACAUUGUACCUUUCUUAUAAAACCCCAGUAACAAUUAAAAUGAGAAUAAUAUAAAAUUUCUUAAAUUGAAUAAUGAAACAAUUUAUUUUAACAGACAUGUGCAAUUACGUUUCUUACAUACACCCAGCCCAACUUCUUAGAAACCGCAUUACUCACAGUGGGCUGGCCUCUUGUACAUCAAUUAACACUUUAGAAAAUGCCUCACAGUCUUAGUUGUUCUCAACAGCUUGAUGGUAAGGUCCUAUUACUAAAGAAAACCCUUACUUAUAUCAUCAAAUGGUAUGAAAUUUAGAUGUUUCCCAACUAGGAGUUUUACCCCUACUGACUAGUAUUCUACACUUCCAAGACGAAAUGGAAUCAUCAAUCACAUGGCUACAAAACCUUCAACCUGCUUGCAAGAUAUAGUGGUGCAAUAGGGGCACAAAAUUAUUGGAAUAAACAACGAGUUUUUGAUUGGAUUUAUGACCUUCAUGAGAUGUAACCUGUAUCUAAUAAUGUUAAAGUGGCCAUGAGCCUGAGGGUCAAAGAUAAAUAUUAUUGCUCUUACUCUGCUAAGUGAACAUAGCCACAAAAUGAUUCCCAAUCACAUUGCAUACUCAUAGAUCAGUGCCCUAUGCAGCCCUCAUCAAAGAAAUUUCUUGUAAUGGGAAUUAACACAGAGACCAACAAAUAAACAGUGUUCAUAAAGGGAGACUUUGAUACAUACUCGCUUGCAAAAGUUCAAGCCAGAUGUGGUUCCAGUACUGAGAAGAAAGAAAUAGACACAGGAUGCCAUCUUAACUAAGAAGUGAUUUGUAACUGAUAUGUGUUGUCAAAGAGAAAAUCAGUUUUCUCCAAUAGAGGUUAUGCCCAGAAGUCAUUGCCGAACAAAAUGAACUCCACAUUUUUUUUAAAUAAGGGAUUAUUGAUUUUUUUUCUAUUCUAGUUUUCUGGACUACCCAGCCUCCCAUUCCUUGCCAUCCAGGCAGUGUCCAGCAUGGCUUCCCUCUUGUGGCAUGAGCUUCAAAUUAAGCUAGUCAUUAACUGGCCACUUCCAUAAGUUCUGGACCUCCAUUGAUCCAGCACAUCUUGCUGCCAGGAUAGAUUGUUGGUCAAAGGUUUUGUGGCUAGGUUAUUGUUCCAGUCCAGUCAUUGGAUGUUGCCAGUUUAUAGAAGAUGGAUGGUUCAGGCUACUUAUCCUUCAUUACUAACAGUGUUCACUAGUGUCACCAUCUUAGAAUCCUAGGAAAUUUUGCUGCACUAGGCUACCGUAUCGCCUUCCAAAUGCCCUCCAGUUACAAUUGUUUCUCCUCAUAGUCUCUCCAUUCAUUUCUCUCCCUCCACAUGAUCUUGCUUGUUCUCAGCCUCACUUACCCACAGUUCACCUGCAAAAUCUAUUCUAUUUUCCCUUCCCAGAGAGAUACUAGAGCUUCCAUCUCCUUAGAGCUGUUUUUGAUACUUAUGCUUUCUCAGUUUGUACAUCAUAGCAUGAUUAUCAUUUCCUUAACAGCUCAUAUCCACUAAUAAGGAUGUAUAUACCAUGUUUUCUUUCUGUGUCUGGAUUACAUCACUCAGGAUGAGGUGGGGUUUGUUUUUGUUGUUGUUGUUUGUUUGUUUGUUUUUCCCUAUGAACUUCACUUUUCUCCCCCCACAUGGGCUUUUUGGUUUAGUUUUGAUUUGUUUGGGCACUCUUUUGUCCUAUUGUUACUUUCUUGUUUUGAUUUCUGUGGGGGUGGAGACUGUUUGAGAAAGAAAGAGAGAAAGAGAAACAGAGACAGAGACUGAGAGACAGAGAAAGAGCACAUGAAUUUGGGUGGGAAUGGAGGUAGGAAGUGAAAACAUGAUCAAAAUAUAUUGAAUAUCUUUAAAUAAAAAACCUGUACAUGUCAAAAAAGAAAGAGAAAAGAAAAGAAGAUGGAUCACAGACAGUUCUUUGGUUAAUAUUGUCUCUUCCAUGGUGUUUCUAGGUUUGUGCCAUGUUGACUCAAAUUAUUUAUCACAGACCCUAACAAUAAAGUUAUACUCAACAAAAUGGAAUGCUUUGUUGGAUUAAAGAUAGUUGGAUAUUUUUUUUGAAAACUCCUAUUUUGGAUAGGCAAAGCCUUUGUUUCUUCCUCUUAUGUUUUAAUGGAAAUGACCUGCCAUAGGCUCAAGUAUUGGAAUAUGUGUUCCCACUAGGAGUACUCUUUACGGAUCUACAAAACCUUCCUGAAAUGUGCUUGUUUGACAACUGCUGUUUGUUGGCUGCAAAACUUUGAAGUUAUAGUAGUCUAUGUCCACUUCCGUUCUCACUCUUUUCUUCCAAAUUUGCCAAUGUAUGGUAGUGUCGUGGCCACACACCACACCACCACCACCAUGAACUAUGCCACACCUUCCUUGCCAUGGUGAGAUAAAGCUGUAUACCAAAUUAAAUACUAAUUGCUAAUUGCCAGAUAUUUAGGCAACACAUUUAGAAAAAGAGCUAAUAUCAUUCCUUAGAAUUUGUACAUAUUCUACAACUGCUUUCCCUAUAAAAUGUGAUAGAAGAUAUGCUGUGUUUAUUUCUAUGUCUAGACCUUAAUAUAUGUGAAUUCAUCUGUGUCAUUUAUUCUAGGACCUGGAACUUCCAUGGGAACAGAUAGCCAACACUGAG
rnacentral:sRNA from 1 species